AACGAACGCUGGCGGCAGGCUUAACACAUGCAAGUCGAACGCAUCGCAAGAUGAGUGGCAGACGGGUGAGUAACGCGUGGGAACGUACCCUUUACUACGGAAUAGCUCCGGGAAACUGGAAUUAAUACCGUAUGUGCCCUUCGGGGGAAAGAUUUAUCGGUAAAGGAUCGGCCCGCGUUGGAUUAGCUAGUUGGUGGGGUAAAGGCCUACCAAGGCGACGAUCCAUAGCUGGUCUGAGAGGAUGAUCAGCCACAUUGGGACUGAGACACGGCCCAAACUCCUACGGGAGGCAGCAGUGGGGAAUAUUGGACAAUGGGCGCAAGCCUGAUCCAGCCAUGCCGCGUGAGUGAUGAAGGUCUUAGGAUUGUAAAGCUCUUUCACCGGGGAAGAUAAUGACGGUACCCGGAGAAGAAGCCCCGGCUAACUUCGUGCCAGCCGCCGCUGUAACAC
rnacentral:rRNA from 1 species